rnacentral:sRNA from 1 species
UAUCCAUCCCAUGCGGGAAGGAUGAGAAGCUUCGACUAAGGUUCGAUUCGAGCGGAGCGAGAAAGAGUUGCCGCAGGCAACGACCCGAAGGGCGAGGCGCAACGCGCCGAGUAAUCCUUCCCCCAC